GUCUACCCUCUGUGCUAUCAUUCCAGCCCCACAUGCCUGAUCUUGUCUGAUCUUGGAAAUUAAGCAUGAUUGGGCCUGAUUAGUACUCGGAUGGGAGACCACCUGGGAAUACCAGGUGCUGUAGACC
rnacentral:rRNA from 1 species